rnacentral:rRNA from 1 species
AGGACGAACGCUGGCGGCGUGCUUAACACAUGCAAGUCGAGCGGAAAGGCCCUUCGGGGUACUCGAGCGGCGAACGGGUGAGUAACACGUGAGCAACCUGCCCCUGGCUCUGGGAUAGCUCCGGGAAACCGGGAUUAAUACCGGAUAUGACCUUCCGUUGCAUGACGGCGGGUGGAAAGUUUUUCGGCUGGGGAUGGGCUCGCGGCCUAUCAGCUUGUUGGUGGGGUGAUGGCCUACCAAGGCGACGACGGGUAGCCGGCCUGAGAGGGCGGACGGCCACACUGGGACUGAGACACGGCCCAGACUCCUACGGGAGGCAGCAGUGGGGAAUAUUGCGCAAUGGGCGGAAGCCUGACGCAGCGACGCCGCGUGGGGGAUGAAGGCCUUCGGGUUGUAAAGCUCUUUCGCACGCGAGGAUGAUGACGCUAGCGUGAGAAGAAGCCCGGCUAACUUCGUGCCAGCAGCCGC